GGAAACUGCCUGAUGGAGGGGGAUAACUACUGGAAACGGUAGCUAAUACCGCAUAACGUCGCAAGACCAAAGAGGGGACCUUCGGGCCUCUUGCCAUCGGAUGUGCCCAGAUGGGAUUAGCUAGUAGGUGGGGUAACGGCUCACCUAGGCGACGAUCCCUAGCUGGUCUGAGAGGAUGACCAGCCACACUGGAACUGAGACACGGUCCAG
rnacentral:rRNA from 1 species